GUUGCAACUUUGAUGAUACCCUAAUGGAAUUGAGUGCCUUGAUAACGACUAUGGUUUGAUUUUUCUUCUGGCAGUUCAGUAAUUCAUUUGCUUUCAAAAUUCAAGAUAAGGGGGGUCGUAUGCACAGAUUUAUUAGUGAUUCUCAUAGUUUGGCAGAUCAUACAAUGGCCAUAAUUCAGAGACUAGGGGUGAGAUCCACCGCUACCACCUCCCACAAAUUCUGGUCUUUAGGACUGUGCAGAACUUGGUUCAAACCGACCCAACCAGUGACCCGAACCAAGACCGGAAAGCAACUUCCACUUGAUGCUUAUCGGUUUUUCAUGGAGAAGAUGAUAAAUUUGAUAUGUAUCAUGUUAACAAGAACAAUGUUAAUCGUGUUAUGCUUUUGGAGAGUGUCAUGUUGCAGUUUAAAAUCUGAUUUAUGCAUUAAAAAUAGGCAUCAGUACGAAGACGAAGACUAGGACGAAGUCGUAAUUUCAUCAGACAAUGAUCUUACUGCAAGUGAAGAUGCUGGGGUCUGCAUAUAUUUUCAGCAUUUUACGAAGCAACUAGCAAGCAUCACAUUUUUAAUGGACACUAGCAAUGGGUUCUACUCCGAUGCUGGUCUUUAUGUUCAUCUUCGAAUCGGUCCUUACGUUUGUGCCGAGUGGAAUUACGGGCCGAAAUGAAACGGUUUACAACCAAGAUAGUUAGCAUGAUGAAGGACGAGAAUCUUUAUGCGUCUCACGGUGGACCUAUAAUCUUAUCUCAGGAGGAUUUAGCUUGCACAUGUGUUGACUGUUGAGCAAUUGUCUUUGACAUAUACAAUUGCUUUUAGUGGCUGCUAGAAGAUGGUGAUCUAAAACCUUCAUUCCCACUAAGAAAAUGUUGGUCGGCGAACAUGCAUUGGUAUUGUGAUCUCAGGUUGGUCUCCCAUAUAAUGAAUCGAUAGUAGUUAAGAGUCAAUGGUUUGCCCAAAUGGCUGUGCUCGAUCCUACAUGGACGAACUUGGAUUAGUUGGUGAUUGUCCUAAUAACUAUCAGAGGAAUAUUGUCAACACAUAUGACAACAAAAGACAAAGGUCAAAAAGCUGAAAUGAACAGUUGCACACCAGGAAGCAGUGUUCAGUAGUAACAGCAGGCAAAUGUCAACUAUAAGGGACAAUAAGCAUUAAUGUCUUAUGAAAACCCUUGCACCAAAAAGUUUAGUACUCUCCAAACACAUAAUUCAUACUCAUAUGCUAAAAAAAACUUCUCAAAAACUGAAAACCCUUUGUACAAAAAAGUACAGUACUUUUCAACACAAGAAUUCAAACUCAUAUGCUCAAAAACAGGCUGCUCAAAAUAGAAUAGUUGUCUUAUAUCCUGCUCUCUAGAUAAUUUCGAAAAAACAUUAAGGUACCACCCCUAUAUAAUCCAUGAAACCAUUUGGACAAUCACACUUAAUUCUAUUCUUCAUUCUCUCUUCUUUAACAAAUGUCUAAACUGGAUACCUCAUCUGCUUCUGCAAUGUCAAAAAAGGAUUGCUCAUCGGCUGCACCAUUGCCUUCAAUGAUACCUCCAUCCGAGAUUACUUUCUUGAAGGAUUUAAAAGUAGAGCCGGUUUAAAGAUGUUGUUAACAGAUAAAGAUGGCCAUGCUACAAAUAAGACCGCAAAUGUUGUAUACAAAGAAAU